rnacentral:lncRNA from 1 species
AAGGCAAGCCGUAAUCACCGGAAACCAAAGGAGAUAGAUAAACAAAUAUAGAUACUGAUAUAUGAAAACGAACUACAGUAGCUAUAACAGAUAUGAACAUGAUAUGACGUAAAAGCAACUACAGUAGUAAUAGAAAUAGGAUAAUAACUGAGCAAGAAUGAAACUACUACUGUAACCAAAAACUCAACUGAUCAGAUGCCUCAAAGGUGAAUAGUCCAAAAC